UACGUAGGGUGCAAGCGUUGUCCGGAAUUAUUGGGCGUAAAGAGCUCGUAGGCGGUUAGUCGCGUCUGCUGUGAAAACUCGGGGCUUAACUCCGGGCCUGCAGUGGGUACGGGCUGACUAGAGUGCGGUAGGGGAGACUGGAAUUCCUGGUGUAGCGGUGAAAUGCGCAGAUAUCAGGAGGAACACCGGUGGCGAAGGCGGGUCUCUGGGACGGUACUGACGCUGAGACGCGAAAGCGUGGGGAGCGAACAGG
rnacentral:rRNA from 1 species